CGGUCUUUUGCACACAUCAAAGUGGACGAAUAUUUGGGAAAAGGCAAACUUUGCUUCAUCCACACAUUCGGCUUUGUGGUUGGGAGAUAAGAACUGUUCACGGUUUCCAAUUUUGUCAUCAGAGCCUCAUUGACUAUUGGGUAUGGAGUGGCCUAAUGAGUUGGUGUUGGAUUUCUUACAAUACUAUGAGAAUGAACCAGUUAUUUGGAACCCUUCUCA